rnacentral:tRNA from 1 species
UGGCUCACUUGGUAGAGCACUCCAUUGGAAAUGGAAAGAUUCCUGGUUCGAUACCAGG